UUCUUUCACAGGACUGCUCCUGAAUCUUCCUCAGAGACUCCAGAUUGCCAGACAUGCACCAACAGUCUGAUAUCUAUCCUGUCCGAGGAACAGAAGAACCCGCAAUAAACAAGCUCUUCUCACCAUUCCAAAGCCACCAUACUUGGAGCAAAUGGAGUCCUACUUAAAGAAGGAGCUGCAGGCUCUUGAGUGGAGUAAAGAGAAUGCCCAGGAACUGAAGUUACAGGUCUGAUACAAGGUUCUCUUGGCUUGAAAUGAAGUGCUGAGAUGGGUACUUAAAUUUGCUAUCCAAAGGAAAAAGGAGAUGAGAGAAGUAGGCGCCUAUGGGUAGUACUGAAUAAGUGGAUUUGUAGCUCAGACUAGAGAACUUGCACAGGAUUCAGUUUAUUUAUAUAUUGGGUUGCUGCUCUUUGCAUGUUAUUGGGUUGUUUGCAUCUUCUAAUGUAUUCCACAUCUUCUAUAACAGUUUCCAUUUUCAAAUCAAAG
rnacentral:lncRNA from 1 species